rnacentral:misc_RNA from 1 species
CGAGCCCGACUGUGACGGAAAUGUGGAUGAGCAGGGAUGUCCUCCAGUCGUCUGCGAUUCGGACGAGUUCUCAUGCGACAACGGCUGCAUACCAUCGGCAUUCGUAUGUGACGGAGACUUGGAUUGCUACGACGGCAAAGACGAGGCCACUUGCCCAGUACAGUAAACUCGAUCUGAUGAAUAGAAGCUCAACAUAAGAGAAACGCGCGAGCGCCACCUAGUGCCAGGCUUCUUGCCCCCACAAUUCCUUCCUGUGUUCUUAUCAAUUAUCAUCGAUUUCUCAUUUUACGACUGAAUUCCAUCCUGUCAGUUAUCAUCUAGAGACGAUUGUUAUGAGAAUAUCUUUUAUUUAUUUUGUUGUUUUUUUUAUCGUCAAGGUGUUGUUUUUAAUUUUUAUAGAAGAAAUAAUUUAUUUUUGGUCUAUACUGAUUAAUAAACCUACAAAAAUUCAAAUUGAAGUGUGUGUGGGUUUUUUUUUCUUUACUUGUGCUUUACAGGUUAAAGAUAUGUUUCAUUACGAAGUUUGUAUAUGUUUUUGCAAUUCGCACUUAAAAAAAAGGGUUUUUCUGAAAGAAUGCCCCGCCGCAUGAAAUUAAUUGUAUUUGCAGUAUGCAAUUAUAAAACAAGAUGUAAUAUG